rnacentral:rRNA from 1 species
UAGGGAAUCUUCCGCAAUGGACGCAAGUCUGACGGAGCAACGCCGCGUGAGUGAAGAAGGAUUUCGGUUCGUAAAACUCUGUUGUUAGAGAAGAACAGCGCAUAGAGUAACUGUUAUGCGUGUGACGGUAUCUAACCAGAAAGCCACGGCUAACUACGUGCCAGCAGCCGCGGUAAUACGUAGGUGGCAAGCGUUGUCCGGAUUUAUUGGGCGUAAAGCGAGCGCAGGCGGUCAAUUAAGUCUGAUGUGAAAGCCCCCGGCUCAACCGGGGAGGGUCAUUAGAAACUGGUUGACUUGAGUGCAGAAGAGGAGAGUGGAAUUCCAUGUGUAGCGGUGAAAUGCGUAGAUAUAUGGAGGAACACCAGUGGCGAAGGCGACUCUCUGGUCUGUAACUGACGCUGAGGCUCGAAAGCGUGGGGAGCGAACAGG